rnacentral:rRNA from 1 species
UACGUAGGGCGCAAGCGUUGUCCGGAAUUAUUGGGCGUAAAGAGCUCGUAGGCGGUUUGUCGCGUCUGCCGUGAAAGUCCGGGGCUCAACUCCGGAUCUGCGGUGGGUACGGGCAGACUAGAGUGAUGUAGGGGAGACUGGAAUUCCUGGUGUAGCGGUGAAAUGCGCAGAUAUCAGGAGGAAUACCGAUGGCGAAGGCAGGUCUCUGGGCUGACACUGACGCUCAUGCACGAAAGCGUGGGGAGCAAACAGG